rnacentral:lncRNA from 1 species
GUCUGUAAUAUAGAAGUCUGAAAUCAAGGUGUCAGCAGCACCAUGCUCUCUUGAAAUCUUUAGAAGAGGAUCCUUCCUUGCCUCUUCCUAGCUUCUGGUGGUCCGCAGGCAAUCUUUGGUGUUCCUUGGUCUCACAUCGAGGUCACGCUGAUGAAAAAGGAACUACAGUACUGUUAUGUCAGUAACAUACAUCACAGUCGUACGUCUCCAGGCUUCUUAUCUUCCUUUGAACCUGACCUGGCUACUGUUUGGUGGAUUAUAGAGGAAAAGCUGUAAUGGGAAAGUAGGUUGGGUGAAGGGAUGAGAAAAAGGAAAGCAUCGUGGAGCACAUUAGCAGGCUUUCUCCAUGAAGAAGCAGGAUGAGUACCUUCUCACUGCCAAAGUAGUUGGAGGGACAUCAAACACCAGUGAUGGGAACACUGAACCUCACAUAAGGGGCAAUGCAGCAUCUCUGCCUUCUUCUGGGUAUUCCUCUUAAAUGGCUUGACAAUAACCACCAACCAGCACUGCCAUACAUGUGUCCUGUACCUAUCAGAGGCACUAGGGCAGUUUUGGAACAGAGAGCCCAUAGAAAGGCUACUGCUUAGAGAUAGCCAUUUUCUUCUUGGAGCUGGACCAGUGAAUUAGACGCAUGGAGGAGAGCUGGAAAAUCCCUUUUUGGAAGAGCUACACAAAACCAAAAUUUGGAAUUCGUAGCUAAUAACCAUAAAAAUUAAGAAAUGACUGUUGGAAGAGCACUGGAAAUCACCUGAUUAAGUUAAGAAAAACUAACUAGCUCAUGAGAAAAUUAUUUUCAGGCCAGCUGUAGCCUGUACCCUUUUGAAAAUCCCCUGACUAGUGAGUUCAUUUUUGUUGGAAUAUAGAAUUUUUCUUUUCUAAGCAGAUGUAAACUUGUCUUUCUGUGGUUGGCUUUGGAGCCCACAAGAUAAUUAAAUGGCAGUGCUAACUGAAAGCCUGGGCUGUGCUUAUAGGUUCAAGAGGCAGGUAGAAGACACUGGGUUGGGGAAGUAGGGCUAUGGAACUGUGGCUCUGGCUAAGAUUACUAAUGUCUGUGAGCGCUGGAAGAAGGGAAAUAGAAAUGAAAAAACAUGAAUAUGGUUGAUGGGCCAGACUGAGUGUUGAGGUCCUAUGAUGUAUCAAAGAAUGGCUUACAUGAAAGUUAUAAGGUGUGGAUGGAAAAGGUCAGUGUGGAAGAGAACAGAAUUACUAGCUUUAAAGCUCAGAGACAUCUGCUUUUCAGGAAAAAAAAAUACAAAAGUCUAUGAGUGAAGGAAGGAGACUAAGAGAAAGAAAGGUGAGGAAAAGAGGAAGAGAAUAAAAAGGAACAGAAAUGAGAAAAAUAUGACACAAGAAAAAAAGAAAAAUUAGGAGGAAGGAAAGAAGAAAGGAAGGCAGAGAGGGAGGAAAGGAAGGAAGGAGACAGGGAGGAGAAACAGAAAAAGAGAGAAUGAAAGAAGUGGAAAUCAAGAAAGAAACAACAUAAGAUUCUACAGAGAGGACUCAUUAUAGGCAAAAUAAGUAAAAGAAAUUUCUUUUGGCAUUGUCCUAUCUCCCUUGCAUUCUCAUCUACUAAGCCUUUUCUUCCCUGUGGGCAAUAUUAUUGGCAUGAGUAAACUCUCACCUUAAUAUUCCUAAUAACCAUAAGUUUGUCCUCUACUCCCUAAAACUACUGCCGUGUGUGCCAUGCUCCAAAGUAAUCUCUUAUUCUCACUUCGUAACCUUUCAUCUCAGCUGUGUGUCAGUUAAGAAGAAUUUCAUCAAACUAAGCCUCUUGGAUUUUAAAAGAAUGCUCUUGCCCAGUUAUAUCUUUAGUUGGCAUCAUUUCAGGUAUGAAAAGGCUCUGCUCUAUGUGCCCUUAUCAAUCCUGAAAGAGCUAUCUCCCCAAGCAAAAUGAGAAGGACAAUCAUAACUGGCUCAAGGCUAGUCCAAUCUGGCUCUGUCCUUAGAUCCAAAAAGUUGAAGUUGUAAGUGACCCUAGAAAUGAUCUAUUUCACACUUAUUGUCCAGACAAUGAAACUCCAGUGGAGAGUGGAUAGGACCCUUCUAGGGUCGCAUGAUUGCUAGUGGCAAAGCCAGGUCUGAAUCAUAUCACUGCUUAUGGAGAACUUGUUGCCCUCACCAUUGUCCUCAAAUUUCUCCUGUUGACAGCAGGAUCCCUCAGAGAAAAGAUAGCUCCAGCCAAAGAACUCAGUGUAGCCCCAUGAACUCUCCAAAUAAUCAUAAACACAGCUAUAGUAGACAAGAAAGGCUAUCUUCUCAUGACCCUUUCUGUGGUUAAAAUCCUGAAAAACUGGGCACUACGGCUAUAUUCCAAACAUUCUUGCAAAUAGUAUUUCCAGACACAGACAAUGAUUCUCAGAGAUUCUCACCAUAGACGGUGAGGCAGGCCGUUCCUGAGAUCUUCCCAAAACCAAAGGUAUUGAAGAGACACAUGUAAC